GCCCGCCUAGCUCAAUCGGUAGAGCGUCAGACUCUUACGGUCUCCCUGGCGGGUUGAUUGUCAGUUACGCAAUCUGAAGGCUGUGGGUUCGACCCCCACGGUGGGCU
rfam:Stereum hirsutum FP-91666 SS1 unplaced genomic scaffold STEHIscaffold_5, whole genome shotgun sequence.